GUGACUUCCUCUCCCGUCACCCUGAUAACACUUUCUCCAUGAACUUUGGCCAUGCUGCUGUUCUUGCUUACGUCCCCCCUCACUCCCCUUUAACCAAGGACCGAAGGUUGUUUUGCGGGUUUGAGGACAUAUACUGUCUGUUCAUGGGGUCCUUGAACAACUUGUGCUCGCUGAUCAGGCAAUAUGGGUUGUCAAAGGGAACCGAUGAGGCCAUGUUUGUGAUAGAGGCGUAUCGUACGCUCAGAGACCGGGGUCCUUACCCUGCUGACCAGGUUGUCAAGGAUCUUGAUGGGAGCUUUGCUUUUGUGGUCUACGAUAGCAAGGCCGGCACGGUCUUCACAGCUCUGG
rnacentral:lncRNA from 1 species